GGGCCCGGGACGCGGAGUGGGUUGUCGUGUCCCUGGAACGGCGUGUCGCCCGUGCCCUCUGCCGUGACCCGCCAGGGGACAGACAGCCCACAAACAAACAACCACAAUCACCCAAAACUGCCCCCAAGCCACCAGCCCGCCCUGUUGCAGCGGCUCCUCCGGGUGGCAUCAGAGCGCAGAGCUGAGGCAUCGGUGAUGUCCACCUCAGCGGGUUUCCCCCACGGGGUAUCCCCACCGUGGGGUCUCUUCCCGAGUGGGUAUUCUCUCAGAGGUUCUCUCCUCUCAGCGGGUCCCGCCACAUCUGGUAUUCCCUCCACAAGUUUGUUCCCUUACCUGGUCUCUUCAGCAGAUUAUCUCUGAAGUGUGUCUCUCCUCUUAGAGGGUCUCCUCCCCCAGCAAGUCUUCUCUCAGUAGGUCUCUCCUCAGCAAAUCUACGACAUGUGGAAGAGAACUCAGCAGGCCUGCCACCUGAGAAAGUCUCUCCCUUGCAGAGGAUUUUCCUUCAGUGGGUUCCCAUCUUGGGCUGGUCCCAGGGGGAUUAAGAAGGAAGAGGAAGACCUAGUUUCAGCAGUGGAGGACUAGCCUAACUCUGCAGAGGCCUCUGCCAUGGACUUCAAUCUCCUCUAGAUCUGUCUACAAUAUCGUUCAACCCAAAUCCACACAAGCACUUAGUGGAACACUUAGGAAACUGAAAAAGUUCCACUUCAGGCUGUAGACCCUGUUUGUGCUGGAUACAGCAUUAAGUGUGUAACAAACCUGAGUGCUUGACCUGAGGAAUCUCACUGCUCUGCCUCGAGGAAUGAUUUCUACUUGAAGGCAACAGAAUCUCCAUCAAGAAGAGCUGUUCGCUGGUCUUGUGGUUUGUGGAUGAGGAGCAGAACCCAUUGCUCUGUACACAGGAGGGAAAGCACUGAUCACUGAAGCUUGUGACCUGUGUGUACAGGUGACUGACAGCAACCAUGACUGCUGAACAAACUGGAGAAGAGAUGAAGACGUGACUUCAUCUGAGGAUGUAAAAUGGCAAGGAGAAAGAAUGAAACCAGUUUGUCACAUGCUCUAAAAUUCUCUCUCUCUCUUUGUCACAUCUUCCACUUUUUAAUUAUUCUCUCCAGGCACCCAAAUGAAAAGGCAGAAAGGCAUUUAAGUGAUCUGUGCAUAGGUGCUACUGCCGUCUCCAGAAGAAAAAAAUUAAUGCUUGAUCAGAAUAAGAAAUUUAUUAAACUCUGGCUAAUGAUACUCUCCUUCAACCCAAGCACCACUGCUAGAAUAGGAUAUUUAAAAUCUUCCUGUCUCCUGGAAAGUCCUUGGAGUUGGAGGCAGUAUGGCAGAAACCUCAGCUAGGUAUGUAGCAUUCAGCAGCUUCACAGAUGAGCUUCCAGGAAAUCUUUACAGCUUUUGUAAUAAAAAUAGCAUUCAUAUAUGACUUUGUUUAUGGUGAGGCCCCAGGGUGAAUUGUUUGGGUUUUGUCUGUAAAAUUCCUUGCCAGUUGGUCUUGCAGAGAACAAGUGUAAGUUGGAGCCUCGUGGAGUUUAAACUCGAUGAGAAGGAAAUAAUAUUUGAGGAGAAAUCAUAUUUUGGACCCAGCAAGUUUGACACUGGCUAAUGCUGCCAGAGUUUGAGUAUUAUUGAAUUUAACAAUCUUUUCCAUCAAAUUCCAGAAUCAUCUGGAACAUUCCCUCUUACGUGAAAUAAAUGCUUGCAAGCUGCCAGGUGAUUAACACUGUUAACUGAGAUGUGAGGGUGUCUCAGGAGACUCUGCU